UACGGGAGGCAGCAGUGGGGGAUAUUGCACAAUGGGGGGAACCCUGAUGCAGCGACGCCGCGUGAGUGAAGAAGUAUUUCGGUAUGUAAAGCUCUAUCAGCAGGGAAGAAAGGCCCAUUAUGGGAGAUGACGGUACCUGACUAAGAAGCCCCGGCUAACUACGUGCCAGCAGCCGCGGUAAU
rnacentral:rRNA from 1 species